CCUACGGGAGGCUGCAGUGAGGAAUAUUGGUCAAUGGACGAGAGUCUGAACCAGCCAAGUAGCGUGAAGGAUGACUGCCCUAUGGUUUGUAAACUUCUUUUAUAAAGGAAUAAAACGAGGCACGUGUGCCUUUUUGCAUGUACUUUAUGAAUAAGGAUCGGCUAACUCCGUGCCAGCAGCCGCGGUAAUACGGAGGAUCCGAGCGUUAUCCGGAUUUCUUGGGUUUAAAGGGAGCGUAGAUGGGUUGUUAAGUCAGUUGUGAAAGUUUGCGGCUCAACCGUAAAAUUGCAAUUGAUACUGGCAGUCUUGAGUACAGUUGAGGUAAGCGGAAUUCGUGGUGUAGCGGUGAAAUGCUUAGAUAUCACGAAGAACCCCGAUUGCGAAGGCAGCUUACUAAACUGUCACUGACAUUGAUGCUCGAAAGUGUGGGUAUCAAACAGGAUUAGAUACCCGGGUAGUC
rnacentral:rRNA from 1 species